AGAGUUUGAUCCUGGCUCAGGAUGAACGCUGGCGGCGUGCCUAAGACAUGCAAGUCGUGCGGUAACAGGGAGAGCUUGCUCUCUGCUGACGAGCGGCGGACGGCUGAGUAACGCGUGGGAAUUUGCCCCAAAGUGAGGAAUAACUGCCCGAAAGGGUGGCUAAUGCCGCAUAUGCUCUUCGGAGUAAAGCUUUCGAGCGC
rnacentral:rRNA from 1 species